GGUGCAGGUGGCUCUCCUUGGGGCAGGUUCUCAUGCUGGGCCACCAUCAGAGGUUCCUGGGCUCCUGAGGACACUCUGCUUGUAACCCCUCACCUUGGUGCCCCAUCUGGGUUUCAGGGGCGCCGGUCAGGGCCUCCAGUGGACCCAUGGGAUGAUGCUGACCUGUUGCUCUACAAGGCCACAGACAGGCUAGGCUUUUUGCCUCAGGAGCAGCCUAGCCUCAGCACCCAGGGCCUCAGCAUCCACAGCCUCAGCACCCACGAGUCAAGGCAAAGAGCCAAGGACAUCAGGCAAGCCCCUAAGUGGGUGAAGAUGCUGAGGAACUGGGGCAAAUACGGGGACAGUCAAAAGGUAGAAACCUGAGCAUUCUGACCCUGAAGGAGGCUGGUCUGGGUCUCCUGGGGCUUUCCUGGCCACCCUAGCCCAGGA
rnacentral:lncRNA from 9 species